rnacentral:rRNA from 1 species
GAUGAACGCUGGCGGCGUGCCUAAUACAUGCAAGUCGAGCGAACAGACGAGGAGCUUGCUCCUCUGACGUUAGCGGCGGACGGGUGAGUAACACGUGGAUAACCUACCUAUAAGACUGGGAUAACUUCGGGAAACCGGAGCUAAUACCGGAUAAUAUAUUGAACCGCAUGGUUCAAUAGUGAAAGACGGUUUUGCUGUCACUUAUAGAUGGAUCCGCGCCGCAUUAGCUAGUUGGUAAGGUAACGGCUUACCAAGGCAACGAUGCGUAGCCGACCUGAGAGGGUGGUCGGCCACACUGGAACUGCGACACGGUCCAGACUCCUACGGGAGGCAGCAGUAGGGAGUCUUCCGCAGUGGGCGAAAGCCUGACGGAGCAACGCCGCGUGAGUGAUGAAGGUCUUCGGAUCGUAAAACUCUGUUAUUAGGGAAGAACAAAUGUGUAAGUAAAUAUGCACGUCUUGACGGUACCUGAUCAGAAAGCCACGGCUAACUACGUG